rnacentral:rRNA from 1 species
GGUAGCGCCUCGUGAAUUCAUCUUCGGGGGUAGAGCACUGUUUCGGCUAGGGGGUCAUCCCGACUUACCAACCCGAUGCAAACUACGAAUACCGAAGAAUGUUAUCACGGGAGACACACGGCGGGUGCUAACGUCCGUCGUGAAGAGGGAAACAACCCAGACCGCCAGCUAAGGUCCCAAAGUCAUGGUUAAGUGGGAAACGAUGUGGGAAGGCACAGACAGCCAGGAUGUUGGCUUAGAAGCAGCCAUCAUUUAAAGAAAGCGUAAUAGCUCACUGGUCGAGUCGGCCUGCGCGGAAGAUGUAACGGGGCUAAACCAUGCACCGAAGCUGCGGCAGCGACACGAUGUGUUGUUGGGUAGGGGAGCGUUCUGUAAGCCUGCGAAGGUGUGCUGUGAGGCAUGCUGGAGGUAUCAGAAGUGCGAAUGCUGACAUAAGUAACGAUAAAGCGGGUGAAAAGCCCGCUCGCCGGAAGACCAAGGGUUCCUGUCCAACGUUAAUCGGGGCAGGGUGAGUCGACCCCUAAGGCGAGGCCGAAAGGCGUAGUCGAUGGGAAACAGGUUAAUAUUCCUGUACUUGGUGUUACUGCGAAGGGGGGACGGAGAAGGCUAUGUUAGCCGGGCGACGGUUGUCCCG